UACGGGGGGAGCAAGCGUUGUUCGGAUUUACUGGGCGUAAAGGGCGCGUAGGCGGCCACCGCAAGUCGACUGUGAAAUCUCCGGGCUUAACCCGGAAAGGUCAGCCGAUACUGCGGGGCUAGAGUGCAGAAGGGGCAACUGGAAUUCUCGGUGUAGCGGUGAAAUGCGUAGAUAUCUGGAGGAAUACCGAUGGCGAAGGCAGCCCCCUGGGUUAACACUGACGCUCAUGCACGAAAGCGUGGGGAGCAAACAGG
rnacentral:rRNA from 1 species